UAGUCCACGCCCUAAACGAUGAGUGCUAGACCUCGGAUUUUUUCGGGGUCGCAGCUAACGCAUUAAGCACUCCGCCUGAGGACUACGGUCGCAAGACUAAAACUUAAAGGAAUUGACGGGGGCCCGCACAAGCGGUGGAGCAUGUGGUUUAAUUCGAUGAUACGCGAGGAACCUACCAGGGCUUAAAUGCAGAACGACAGUUUGGGAAACCAUUCUUUCUUCGGACGGUCUGCAAGGUGCUGCAUGGUUGUCGUCAGCUCGUGCCGUGAGGUGUCGGGUUAAGUCCCAUAACGAGCGCAACCCCUAUUCUUAGUUGCCAGCGGAUAAUGCCGGGGACUCUAAGAAAACUGCCAGUGUAAACUGAGAGGAAGGUGGGGAUGACGUCAAAUCAUCACGGCCCUUACGUCCUGGGCUACACACGUGCUACAAUGGUCUGUACAGAGAGUUGCUAACUGGUGACAGUGUGCUAAUCUCUAAAGCAGGCCUCAGUUCGGAUUGGAGUCUGC
rnacentral:rRNA from 1 species